CUGCGGUUCAGGGCCAGGGUGACCCCCAUCCAGGUUUGUCCAGACGAGGCACGGGGAGUCCCAGGUGCCGGAAAGCCAGGCCCGGGCAAACUGCACGGCUGCUUUUGUCCAGUCAGGGCUGGCCUGCCUUCCUCCUGGGUGCUUUCAGACUGCCAGAGGCAGGCUGUGACAUGGUUCCCCGUGUGACCUUGGCAGUGGCCUCGCCUCCCUCGACCUCAGUUUCCCCACCUCUAAAGCAGGAGCUUGGCCGGAAGCUCCGAGGCUGCCUCUGGCCUCUCCAUCCCUCUGUUUACACAUCCGUUUAAGCAUCUGUGUCCUGCUGACCAAGCUCAGGACAGCUUCUGGUCUCCACGUGGCCACCUUCCUUGGGGCGUCACUGAGAAACCAACUAGGAUGACCGCAGGUGGCCCCUGGGCCCCUGCAGGAGGCCCCCCCAUUCAUCAAGAGUGUCCGUUACCAGAAGCGGAAUGCUGUCAAGGACCUUGCUGGAGAAUUAUCAUUUCCUAUCGAUACGCAGCGGCCUUCCCUCCCCCUCACGACGCCUCCGUCUUCCCCGGGACCCUUCUUCUGCCGUCAGCGACGCCCACCGUUCACGUUUGCUCAGGUUCAGAUCAGCCCAAGGCCUGGUUGUGCCCUGGUGUCUGGAGGUGCCUGUGUAAACACAAUACAGCUUGUUGUUUUCCAAAUCCA